rnacentral:misc_RNA from 1 species
UUGUUGCACAUACGGCAGCCGUGUUUACGAGCAUCAGUCGUAAAUCUAAUCAAUGUGGCAACACCUGAAAAGCCAAACUUGCAGAAAUCAAAGUGUGCUAAUUUUAAGUCUUGUGAUAAGUAUUGAAACAAUUUAAGGUGAUUAUUUGGGAUCAUUUGCACCCAAUGGGCUCCACAUUAAAAUUGAUUACCAGCGACACCCUUAAUUGGACUGCAUUUUGCGCAUGAGCUGGGCGCGCAAAUGACACGAUGAGCAACAAUGAGGACAACAAUUACCCCAACUCAGCUGCAGACACAGCUCAAAGACUGAGUUCCAUUGUCGUGGAUCCCACCUCGAAUACCAGCCCAGAAAAGCAGCAGGAAAAGCCACAACAACACAAACCCAAUUAUUACUAUCAUCGUUACGUAGGCCGUCCACAUUGGCGAUUUGCCGUGCCCAUUAGCCCGUAUGGCUGGUAUCGCGUCCUGGUGUUCAGUCAGAACAGCGGCUACACCGUGAAGCAGGUGCUGGAGAAGCUGCGUCUGGCCGUAGCGCCACGGAAGUUCAGGUAUUACUAUCUGCAUGAGGGCGGUGAGCAGGAUGUGGAGCAGGAUAAACGGGCCACCUUCACCUUCUAUGUGGAUAGCUACAAACUGGCCGCCGAGCUGCAGCUGCGCGGACAUCGUCCGCCGGUCGUGGGUCUACGCGUGAAUGACAGACCGCCCAUGAUCGAGGUGGACGAACCGUACAGAUGGAAGUUGCGCAAGGUGAUAAUGUCGCGGUACGAUGAGCGGAAGCGCUGUCUCAAUCUGUGCCGCUUCUAUGCGGACGAUUACUGGAAGGGCGAGUUCUGUGCGCUGCAGCAGUUCGAGUGCCUGGAAGCAAUCAUUGACAUUAUGGAGCAGGAGCUGCCGCAGCUGCGUCGCCUGCUGCUGGACAACAACCACCUGUGCCAUCUGGGCGGCUUUCGUGGCGUUGAACAGCGAUUGCCGCGGCUGCACUGCAUCUCGCUGCAGCACAACGAGCUGAAGACGCUUCGACCGCUGCGCGUCUUUCAGCGCCUGCGUCUCACCGAGCUCAAUGUCAAGCGGAAUCCGUUGCCGCGCAACUACGAGCAGCAACUGGUGACCAUGUUUCCGGAUCUGCGCACCCUCAAUGGCCGUUCCGUGGCCAGACGCAGCACGCCCGUAGUCACGGUCAGUGACAGUGACAGUGACAGCAACAGCAGCAGCAGCAACAGCGACAGCGACAGCGAUGUGGAGCUUGUCUCUGUCACCGAGUGCAAGCCGAUUAUCAUGCCCGAGCCGAGGGUCACGUACCUGGCGCCACAUGCGCUGCCCAUGCAGCCGGGCAUACGGAAGUUCGUGCGUCGCUAUCUGAAAGCGUUUGACGGCGAUAAAAGAGCCACGGAUCUGCAGCGCUUUUAUCAGGAGCACGUUCUGGUCUCCCUAACACUUGCCAAGGAUCGCGCCAUGCUGGGCUCAUGGACUGCGCCCUAUGCUGCCUUUAGUCGCCAGCUGCUGGCGUGCCGGGUCGCGGCGCUGGAAAUGUUCGCCUCGUGGCCCAAAACGUUGCAUUUGCCGUCAACGAUGACCCUGGAUCUGACGCUGGUCGAGCCCCGGAUGCUGUGCGUCUCCAUAACUGGCAGCUUUGAAGAGAACGGCUCGUCCAACGUGCUGCGGCAUUAUAUGCGAACCUUUCUGCUGACCAGGACCGAUGAAACUGCCGACUUUCGCAUAGCCAAUGAGCUCAUCUAUCUCAGCAGAGCUGGCCGUGGCCAGCGCCAGCCGGCGAUGCUCAAUCCUGUCCAACGAAACUUGAUGUGCAUGCUCUCGGCGGAGACCCGGCUGAAGUCGCGCUGGAGUAGCAAAUUCCUCAAAGACACCAAUUGGGACUAUCAGCAGGCCCUGCUGGCAUUCCAAACACUCCUCCGACGACGCCAGAUACCCGAGAAGGCAUUCGAGGGUGAUACCAAGCCAGAGCCGAGUCCAUGACAUCAGCUGCGCACUAUAUUCCCAAUGUGCCCGCAGGGAAAUUGAAAAUUCCACAGAUUAUGCUGAUUACAUUUUAUUUGAAUUUGAAUUUGAUGUGCGAGGGUAUUAUGUGUCCAACGACUGUGUGAUGCAGGCCGCGCCUUCUUCAAUUAUGAUUUAUGAUUUGUUUGCUCAGUUUUGACAAUAUCAUCUGGAAUAAUACCGUAGCCAUACUUGUACAAUAUCUGUUCGUCGUUUCCAUUUCCGUUUCCGUUCAGUCGCAGUGUCAAGCAGGCAGGGAGGGCACAUGCCACAGAAAUUGCAGCUCGUAAAUAAAAAGAAAAUCGAUCCUCCUGGGAUUAAUGUGUAUCUUCAGAGUCGCAUGCAUGAAACUUCAAUUUCCGCUUAGAGAAUUAUGAAACUUUACGAGAAAAAACCAGUGGAAAGUCAGAAAUGAAUACGGGAUAAGAAAACGUAAUCAUCUAGGUAAUAAGGGCAAAAAGAAAGACUUUACCGUGCAGC